AAUAGAAUUGUCUUUAAAAAAGACAAACACCACAUUUUAAUUGCUGAACUGUCUCAUGCUAUGAUUUAAUUUUUAUGUAACAUCGCCUACUUGCUUUUGUUCUUUUAUAUAAUAGUUAUAGAAAAAUGAAAGGAGACUCUGUUUGUUUGCUAGCUUAAUGGCUUCUCUAAAAAUUUUGUGCUACAAUCGAAAGCGGUGGCUCGGUGCUGGCAGUUGACAGACUACAUGUCAGUGAACCGUUAAUGAAGCUAACCCAGGGCUUCCAUUUGUGCUCUGGAAAGCUUCCGUUUUGGCGGUGAAUAUAUAUGUAUACACACUGGUAUCCUAUGCUUACAGUUUGGAAUUCAUUUCCUAGAUACUCCUAGCAGUGGCUCAUGAAUUCGUUUUCAAUCAUUCGCGUGCGAAACCCCUCUUCCAUCAAUUGUGACAGAGCUUCUAUUCAGGGGAAAACCUUUUGAUUUAUCUUUCUCCCUCUGGUAUGUACUUCGUUUGUUCCUUUUUCUUUAGUAAGGUUUUGGAGAGAGUGAUUCUUAAUUUCGUUGACCCAAUCAAUGGAAGCAUGCCAGGUAUUCGCUAAAAUUCCUAUAAGAACGUUCGUUGUGUUUUUUCUUUUCUUUUUUACCCUUGACUGUUUACUUUGUUUUCGGUAGAAGCUAUUUGCUACCUUAUUUCAAACAUGCCUUGAUGAAAUGCUAUAUUUCUUUUGGAUCUUUUUUUGAUAUAUUAGUGUGGUACUCAUCAUGUACUCUCAUGUUCAAAUAUAUAUAUAUAUAUAUAUUGCUGAUGAAAACAAAAAAAAUUAUUUCUCAGUUAUAAAAGUUAUUACAUAGGUGUUUCUUUGAUACACACCAUUGCUUUUGUUUGUGGCAUGUGUUGAGAAAAAUUCCUGAAAAUCUAAGUCAUGUAGCGAACAGGUCUGAAAAUUUUAUGUUGAAAUUUAACAAAUGCAUUUACCAAUCUUGGACAAAUGAUGAGUUUGAAAAGAAAUGGUGGAAAAUGGUUGAUAAAUUUGAGCUCAGGAAUGAUGAAUAGCUUCAAUCACUCUAUCGAAGUUGUAAGAAGUGGGUUCCUGCUUGUAUGAGUGGUACCUUUUUAGCUGGAAUGUUUGUGUGCUACUGAGCGAUUUGAGUAUGUAUUGUCUUGUCUUUGUUGAAUAAAUACAUACACAAGGAGUCUACGUUUAAGAAGUUUAUUGAUGAGUACAAAGUUUUUUUGCAUGAUAGGUGUGAAGAGGAAGCCAGAGCUGAUUUUGAAACACAUCACAAACUGUCUCUGUUAAAAUCUCUAUGUCCUUUUGAGAAACAGCUGUCAACAGUUUAUACACAUGCAAUAUUCAAGAAAUUUCAGGUUAUUGUUGGAUGCUACAUGGGUUAUGUUGAAAGUUGAAGUAUUAAGAGUUUAUUGUUGAUUUUCUUUUAGCAACUUGCUUCUCACAGGUUAUUUGAUGUCCAUGUGAAGGCUAUUGGUGACAUUCAUAUUGAUGAUCAUCACUCAAAUGAAGAUGUUGCACUUGCCAUUGGAACGGUAACCUCCUGAAAUUGAUUAAUCAUUAUUCCUUUUAUGUGAUGUAACACAAAAGCUGUAGUAGUGAACAUUCUAUUUUCCAUGCUAUCUUCCUUUCUAAUUAAUAUUCUAUUUUCCGGCCAUGGUUC